GGUCCCCCACACUGGAAAUGAGACACGGUCCAGACUCCUACGGGAGGCAGCAGUGAGGGAUAUUGGUCAAUGGUCGGGAGACUGAACCAGCCAUGCCGCGUGAAGGUCACGGCCCUAUGGGUAUUCAACUUCUUUUGUAAGGGAGCAAUAAGGAUCACGUGUGGUCUGAUGAGAGUACCUUACGAAUAAGCAUCGGCUAACUCCGUGCCAGCAGCCGCGGUAAUACGGGGGAUGCAAGCGUUAUCCGGAUUUAUUGGGUUUAAAGGGUGCGUAGGCGGUUUGUUAAGUCAGCGGUGAAAUUUAGGGGCUCAACCUCUACCGUGCCGUUGAUACUGGCAGGCUUGAAUGCGGAUGCCGUGGGAGGAAUGUGUGGUGUAGCGGUGAAAUGCAUAGAUAUCACACAGAACACCGAUUGCGAAGGCAUCUCACGAAUCCGCUAUUGACGCUGAUGCACGAAAGCGUGGGGAUCAAACAGGGAUUAGAUACCCUGGUAGUCCACGCUGUAAAACGAUGAUGACUAACCGUCGGCGAUACACAGUCGGUGGCCAAGCGAAAGCGAUAAGUCAUCCACCUGGGGAGUACGACCGCAAGGUUGAAACUCAAAGGAAUUGACGGGGGCCCGCACAAGCGGAGGAACAUGUGGUUUAAUUCGAUGAUACGCGAGGAACCUUACCCGGGCUCGAACGGCAGCUGAAUCAUUCAGAGAUGGAUGAGUCUUCGGACAGUUGUCGAGGUGCUGCAUGGUUGUCGUCAGCUCGUGCUGUGAAGUGUCGGCUUAAGUGCCAUAACGAGCGCAACCCUUGCCGUUAGUUGCCAUCAGGUUAUGCUGGGGACUCUAGCGGGACUGCCACCGCAAGGUGUGAGGAAGGGGGGGAUGACGUCAAAUCAGCACGGCCCUUACGUCCGGGGCGACACACGUGUUACAAUGGUGGGUACAGAGGGAAGCUACCUGGUGACAGGAUGCAGAUCUCGAAAACCCAUCCCAGUUCGGAUUGGAGUCUGCAACCCGACUCCAUGAAGUUGGAUUCGCUAGUAAUCGCGCAUCAGCCAUGGCGCGGUGAAUACGUUCCCGGGCCUUGCACUCACGGCCCGUCAAG
rnacentral:rRNA from 1 species